GAGAUUCUACAUUCAAUAGCGGAGGAAAAGAAACCAACCGGGAUUGCCUCAGUAACGGCGAGUGAAGCGGCAACAGCUCAAAUUUGAAAUCUGGCCCCGGACGGGGCCCGAGUUGUAAUUGGCAGAGGAGGAUUCGGGUGCGGCGCGGGUCCAAGUCCUUUGGAACAGGGCGUCGAGGAGGGUGACAGCCCCGUCCGCGACCCGCGACCAAACCCCGGUGAACCCCCUUCGACGAGUCGAGUUGUUUGGGAAUGCAGCUCAAAACGGGUGGUAAAUUCCAUCUAAAGCUAAAUACCGGCCGGAGACCGAUAGCGCACAAGUAGAGUGAUCGAAAGAUGAAAAGCACUUUGGAAAGAGAGUCAAACAGCACGUGAAAUUGUUGAAAGGGAAGCGCUUGCGACCAGACCUGCCCGCGGGCGAUCAGCCCCCGUUCUCCGGGGGUGUACUCGCUCGCGACCAGGCCAGCAUCGGUCCGGGCGGCCGCAGAAAGGCCGGGGGAACGUAACUCCCCCCUUCGGGGGAGUCUUAUAGCCCCCGGCGCCAUACGGUCAGCCCGGACCGAGGACCGCGCUCCGGCGAGGAUGCUGGCGUAAUGGUCGUCAGCGGCCCGUCUUGAAACACGGACCAAGGAGUCUAACGUCCAUGCGAGUGUUUGGGCGUCAAACCCACGCGCGGAAUGAAAGUGAACGGAGGUGAGAACCCCCCCCCGCGGGGGGCGCAUCAUCGACCGAUCCAGAGGUCUUCGGAUGGAUUCGAGUACGAGCAUGGCCGUGGGGACCCGAAAGACGGUGAACUAUACCUGAAUAGGGUGAAGCCAGAGGAAACUCUGGUGGAGGCUCGCAGCGGUUCUGACGUGCAAAUCGAUCGUCGAAUUUGGGUAUAGGGGCGAAAGACCAAUCGAACCGUCUAUAACUGGUUCUGCAGAUUUCCUC
rnacentral:rRNA from 1 species